rnacentral:rRNA from 1 species
GUUGGAAACGGCUGCUAAUACCGCAUAAGCGCACAGUACCGCAUGGUACAGUGUGAAAAACUCCGGUGGUGUGAGAUGGACCCGCGUCUGAUUAGCUAGUUGGCAGGGCAACGGCCUACCAAGGCGACGAUCAGUAGCCGACCUGAGAGGGUGACCGGCCACAUUGGGACUGAGACACGGCCCAAACUCCUACGGGAGGCAGCAGUGGGGAAUAUUGCACAAUGGGGGAAACCCUGAUGCAGCGACGCCGCGUGAGCGAAGAAGUAUUUCGGUAUGUAAAGCUCUAUCAGCAGGGAAGAAGAAAUGACGGUACCUGACUAAGAAGCACCGGCUAAAUACGUGCCAGCAGCCGCGGUAAUACGUAUGGUGCAAGCGUUAUCCGGAUUUACUGGGUGUAAAGGGAGCGCAGGCGGAAGGCUAAGUCUGAUGUGAAAGCCCGGGGCUCAACCCCGGUACUGCAUUGGAAACUGGUCAUCUAGAGUGUCGGAGGGGUAAGUGGAAUUCCUAGUGUAGCGGUGAAAUGCGUAGAUAUUAGGAGGAACACCAGUGGCGAAGGCGGCUUACUGGACGAUAACUGACGCUGAGGCUCGAAAGCGUGGGGAGCAAACAGGAUUAGAUACCCUG